AACGAACGCUGGCGGCGUGCCUAACACAUGCAAGUCGAGCGCGAAAAGGGCAACCUGAGUAGAGCGGCGCACGGGUGCGUAACACGUGGGUAAUCUGCCUUAGAGUCGAGGAUAACCUUCCGAAAGGUUGGCUAAUACUCGGUAAGCUUACGGUGUCUUCGGACGCUGUGGGAAAAGUAGGCCUCUGUUUACAAGCUUACGCUCUGAGAUGAGCCCGCGGCCCAUCAGCUAGUUGGCGGUGUAACGGACCACCAAGGCAACGACGGGUAGCUGGUCUGAGAGGACGAUCAGCCACACUGGAACUGAGACACGGUCCAGACUCCUACGGGAGGCAGCAGUGGGGAAUUUUCCACAAUGGGCGAAAGCCUGAUGGAGCAACGCCGCGUGUGUGAUGAAGGUUUUCGGAUCGUAAAGCACUUUCGACUGGGACGAAAAACCUUUGGCUAACAUCCAGGGGCCUGACGGUACCAGGAGAAGAAGCACCGGCUAACUCUGUGCCAGCCGCCGCUUAAAAC
rnacentral:rRNA from 1 species